CUGCCUUUCUCUCUCACCUCUACUACUCUCUGCUGCCCUUGCAGUCUGUCUUUGAUUCUUCUCCCCCUCCUGCAGUCAUGACAAUGCUGUGAAUACUUCACCUCCUGGCCAAUCACACACACACACACACACACACACACACACACACACACACACACACACUCUGCUGGGACAUAUACAAUAAGUGGGACACCUGGUCCUGCACAGAUGUGCAAUGGCACUGCUCAUUUCCCCAUGAGAAAUGACAUCAUUCUCACAAGGGGCCUGUGAAUGUGUGGGUCUGUACAGUAUUUAUAGUAACCAGUGGUAUCUUUAUCUUUAUGGGUCCUGUCACCAUAUGUUUCUAUUGUAUUGCCAUGCUGUAUUUUAGUCCUUGCAGUAGAGCUGCAAGUGUGAGAAAGCACAUGUCCUCAUCUCUGAAUUCAAAUGUAAGAUGUGUUAAAGUGUGUCAGGAGAAAUGAUAUCAUCUCUCAUCUGCUCAGUCUAGUCACAACUCAAUGUUGUAUUACAGGGGUACAUGACCUCUAGAUAUGCUUACUUUUUAGUGUCUCAGUGUGGGUUUUUUAUGUGUUUUUAAAUACAGCUCUGGAGUCAGGACAUAUUUAGUUUAGCAUUAUGACUAUUAGCAGGGAAAACAGCCAGCCUGAUUCUGUCCAAAGUUAAAAAAAUGCCUACCAAUAGUCGGUCCACUACUUUGGUCCACACUAAAAUAUCUCAAAAACUACUGGAUAGAUUGCCAUGGCGUUUGGAACAGGAUAUCCAAAGUGCACAGAGGAUGAACUCUACUAAUUUGAGUGAAAUGUCUCAACAACUAUUGGAUGGAUUGCCAUGAAAUGUGGUUCAGACAAUCAUCUCCCCCUGAAGGUUGAAUUGUAAUAACUUUGUUGAUCCCCUGAUUCUUCAUCUUGUGCCAUCAUCAGGUCAAUAUUUCAAUUUGUCCAUGCUAAGAUGCUAAACUAAGAUAGUGAACAUGCUAAACAUAACUGCUUAGCAUGAGCAUGUUAGCAUUGUCAUUGUGACAUGUUAGCAUGUUAGCUGACAUUAGCAUUUAGAUUUAGCUUGUGCCUAAGUACAGCUUUAAAGAGCUCCUAGUAUGACUGUAGACUCUGAAACUAUGUCUAGCUGUUUAAAUUGUAAAACUCCAUUUUCAAGCAAAAACAACAUGCAUCCACAGCAGGAGUUUCAGCUCAUUACAGCAAAUAUCUCCAUCCACAUCAAAAUGCCAAAACAGGUAAUUCUCCUCCUACUGAGCAUGUGCAGAGAACAGACAAGCAAGUCCCACAGAAAAUCAGUGAAGAAGAAAUGGUAUACUAUUUCCAUUUCCACGGCAGCUUCUUGACCUUUAGUUUAUUGAAAGCAGAUUACAACAGUUUCAGCAGAGAAAGGUGGUAGAUAGCUACGUUUAACUAUAAAAAAAGCUGUAAAAGUAGACAAUAAAGAGAACAACACCUGCAUGAGGCUGUCCACCACUGCUGUUGUUUUCGUUGUGUUUCUUCUUCUUCCUCUUCCAAUGAAAAACAAUGAGAUGCUGUGCUACUGCCACCAUCUGUUCCUUCGGCAAUUUGACAGCGUUUCUACACAGCUCCGUUUUCCCCAUACACAUUUACACACUCUGGAGGAUAUUUUGGAAAAGCUCCGUUUUCAGAGGAGAAAAUGUCAUUUUAGUCUGGACAGAGGGCCAAAGUGGAGAGAAGAAGGUACGUUUACGAAUUUAGCCGGCUUAGUGCAGACAUGGUCUUAGUCUUGUUGAACUUUGGACAGAGCCAGGCUAGCUGUUUACCCAUGUUGCCAGUCUUUGGAGCUAGGCCGACACAUACUCCAUACACCAUGUUCUUAUACUGACAGGACACUAUACUGUUCUGACAUUUCAUCAGCAAGAAAUCAAUUUAUAUCCUGUUUGUACCACCAGAACAUGAUGUGCACAUAUGGACAUCAAUCAAACUACAACUUUCAAAUAAAAUUUGAAAACAGUGGUUAAUGUUUUUCUAAGGAUUUACUACUUUAUUGUUGUUGGAGAUAUUCUUGUUUCGUCAAUGUUCACAAUUUGUUGUGAGGUCUCCCAGUUGUGAGGAGUUUCUCCAUUGUCCGACAGACAUUGAGGGAUUUUAGUUUGCUUAUUAUGUUAGAGAGCUGGAUGUGUGUUCCAGUUGAACCAUGAACAGCCAGGAAAAAAACAGAAUAGAAUGUAAUGUGGCUUGAUGCUGUAAAUGCACAGAAUUUUCAUUUAACAAAGUUCAAAUUUAAGGCUCCAUUAAUUGAAUUUUUGGCCACUUGGGAGCAGCAGAAAAAGCUGUAUCAUGUGACAAAGUUGGUGGAGUUGGGUUGGUGAACAUGCUUGCAAUAAGUUGCCUAUAUACACUUUCAGUGAUAUUUGCAUUCAGUUGGAGUCCUGUUUACGUCCACCUGAUGAAAGACGUCAACAUCAGGGAAAAACAAGAGCCUGGUACAUGUGUGGGCCUUGUGUGGCAGCAGUGGCCUCUGUCAUGCAUGAAGAAUGACCUGGCAGGGAGCGCACUGGGAAAGACUGGCCCAGUUGUGGAUGACUGCAUGAACAGCAGGGAGGGAAGAUGAAGAAGAAAGCUGCUCACCAACUUCCCCUCUCAACGGCUAACUCCCAUAAGCUACUGCAAUGUCUCUUUGUGUAAUA